CUCUGCUCCCAGCGAGGGACGCUGGCCUUCUCGCGGCUUUCCCCCGAUAUCUCUCUUUAUUCCAGCUGCCUGAAACUCGGUCCCACGAAUGGCAGGCAGCGUCCAAAAUUCAACCCCGUAAAGCCAGCACCAGCCAAUAAAGCGCACGGAUGGAGGCCACGUGACAGCAGUGGGCCGGCCCUCCGGCUGAGCCCUGAUCUCUAUGGUUUCCGCGGCUCGCUAGAAGGAGUGUGGUCCACCGGAGGACUCCCUACAUUCUUCCUCCAUUACCUCACUGCCUCCGGUGGCUGCUGGGAUACCGGAGGACUCGGGUCCCGGCUCGACUCAGUCCUCCAGCCGCCCGGGGAAUACCUCUAGUUCUUCCCGGCCGCCGCCGCCGCCGCCGCCCCGCCGCUUCCUCCUCCGCCUGCCGGCCUCCUUCGCCCCGUCCCGUCCGCGCAGCGCGUCCGGCCCGCCCGCAGGCCAGCUUCUCUCGGGAGCCCCCACCCAGGCGCAUGGCUCCAUGAAGCAAGAGGAGGAGGCAGAGCGCGAGAGGUCCCGUCCGCCCCAGCCGCGUCUGGGCCAGGAUAAAAGCAAAACCAUAUUCCUGCUGCUGUCAGUUAUGAUGCACUGAGAAAACUUCAGAGACCUAAACUUUUUCCAGAGAAGAGAAGCUUUACUGGUGUUCCAGCCCUAAGAAACUUAAAUCCUCAGUGUGACACAACUCAGUCCUUCUACUGCAGCAGCUCUUUUAUAAAAGCCUCCCAAAGCUCCAAGAAGGAACAAAGAAUGUGACCCAGUAAGCUCACACCAUAAAUCUAUAUUGCAGAAACCUUUGUUCAAGAAAACGGCAGAUGCUCUGUUGAAUCCACUGGAGAUUGUUCUGAUACUAAGGACAAGUAUCAACCAUCUUUCCUGUGAAAAAUUCCCUCUCGUACUUUAGUUCUGUGGAUCCAAAAUUUAUAGCAUUCUUCUACCACCACAGGGGCUCAUAUGACAUUAACAGACAAGACACUUUUCAGAAAGACAGGCAACGUGUUGGACCUUCCGGAGCUUCUCAGAAGACAGAGGGUUUUCUUUUGAGUGAGCACAACAUUUUACCCACGUGCCUGAUGGACAGGCCAAGCUGAAUGGAAGCCUUCUGAGGCACUGGAGCAGAAGGGAAAACUUGCACAUGGUCGCAAAGGACUUCACACUGUUCCAUCCCCUCUACUGCCAUCCAAGAGGCCUCUUGACUCUUCCAGAAUCAGAUGUAAAAGACAAGGGCAGUGGCACUGCUCGUCGUUGCUGGGGAUACAUUCGCAGUGCCACACCUCCUCCACCUUCUCCACGGGGUAGACGGCUUCCACCUAGUGGCAGAUGAGCCGCAGCUGCGUAGGGUCCAGCUGCUUCUUGUUGCAAGCCCG
rnacentral:lncRNA from 10 species